rnacentral:rRNA from 1 species
UACGGAGGGUGGAAGCGUUGCUCGGAAUUACUGGGCGUAAAGGGGAGGCAGGUGGUCUUGUUUGUCUGAAGUGAAAUCCCUGGGCUUAACCCAGGAAGGGCCUUAGAAACGGCAAGACUAGAGUCCUAGAGAGGGUAGCGGAAUUCCCGGUGUAGCGGUGAAAUGCGUAGAGAUCGGGAGGAAUACCAGAGGCGAAGGCGGCUACCUGGACAGGAACUGACACUCAUCUCCGAAAGCGUGGGGUGCAAUCAGG